GAUGAACGCUGGCGGCGUGCCUAAUACAUGCAAGUCGAGCGAACAGACGAGGAGCUUGCUCCUCUGACGUUAGCGGCGGACGGGUGAGUAACACGUGGAUAACCUACCUAUAAGACUGGGAUAACUUCGGGAAACCGGAGCUAAUACCGGAUAAUAUAUUGAACCGCAUGGUUCAAUAGUGAAAGACGGUUUUGCUGUCACUUAUAGAUGGAUCCGCGCCGCAUUAGCUAGUUGGUAAGGUAACGGCUUACCAAGGCAACCAUGCGUAGCCGACCUGAGAGGGUGAUCGGCCACACUGGAACUGAGACACGGUCCAGACUACUACGGGAGGCAGCAGUAGGGAAUCUUCCGCAAUGGGCGAAAGCCUGACGGAGCAACGCCGCGUGAGUGAUGAAGGUCUUCGGAUCGUAAAACUCUGUUAUUAGGGAAGAACAAAUGUGUAAGUAACUAUGCACGUCUUGACGGUACCUAAUCAGAAAGCCACGGCUAACUACGUG
rnacentral:rRNA from 1 species